UACUAAAUUGUUUUCUAUCAUCUGUAUAAUUCACAUUACAAAAAUAGGUAGUUGAAGACUUGGCACAUGAAAAUUCAGACAAACUCAAAAACACAAAUAUGCCGAUAGAGUAUUCGGAGGUAUCACCAAACGUUCUCAGGCAGACGCUCGCCAACAUCACCCCGGAAAGUUACGCAUACAUUUUCUUCAAAGCCUCAUUCCAAGAAAGGCUGAAAAAUCCGUCAAACAUAUCCGCAGCGGCCGAGGAGAUCUUGGCGGACUACCUUCAGCUUUUGCCAGAAAGGAGGAAAAUCCUUUUGAUUUCGGUCCGCCUGGACGAGGACCUGUACGGCGAGGGAAACGAGUUCUACGAAAACCCGAAUUUUCGUGUGUUCACCGUACCGACGAUAAUGAGGUGGCGCGGUCCGCAGCGACUCGUACGGAGCGAGUGUGUCAGCUACGCUCUGCUAUCACUACUUUUCGAAGAAGAUCCAGCACCAAUCUAUAUUCGGGACAGCAUGAGCGUCACUUCUUCUGAACGCAGCGCAGGAGAAGAAAGCGAAGGUUCUAUUAUGUCCUCGGCCAAACGCAAUUCAAACAGUUUUCCAGAUAUUAUCGCGUUGGAUGAAGGCACGAAGACGAUAUAAACGGCAGUAAUGUGAGGGUGCCACCUACAUAAAAGCAACACAAACCAGUCAAUAAAUCACUUGCCCAUUAUGUACAGCAA